GAGUAACACGUGGGGGUAACCCUGCCAAGAGAUCGGGGAUAACACCUGGGAAACAGAUGCUAAUACCGGAUAACAACAGAUGAUGCCUAUCAAACUGUUUAAAAGAUGGUUCUGCUAUCACUCUUGGGAUGGACCUGCGGUGCAUUAGCUAGUUGGUAGGGUAACGGGCCUACCAAGGCGAUGAUGCAUAGCCCGAGUUGAGAGACUGAUCGGCCACAUUGGGGACUGAGACACGGGCCCAAACUCCUACGGGAGGCAGCAGUAGGGAAUCUUCCACAAUGGACGCAAGUCUGAUGGAGCAAACGCCGCGUGAGUGAAGAAGGGUUUCGGCUCGUAAAAAGCUCUGUUGUUGGUGAAGAAGGACAGGGGUAGUAACUGACCCUUUGUUUGACGGUAAUCAAUUAGAAAGUCACGGGCUAACUACGUGCCAGCAGCCGCGGUAAAU
rnacentral:rRNA from 1 species